rnacentral:misc_RNA from 2 species
ACAAUUCGCGCCCCGGCGUGAUGCGUUCACCCUGACCUUUGAGUACCCUAUUUUCCUCCCCCCGGCCGGGGCAACCCGCCGGACGGGACAACAAAACAAACCUAUUGCAUUAGCAGUCACUGUCAGUACAAAACAAAAUUAUCA